rnacentral:misc_RNA from 1 species
CAGUCUUCUCGGCGCCGUUGACGUGGUGGAGCACGCGUUUUCUUGUCUGCUGCGUGUGUUGUUGUUGUGCCUGCUCCAGUCUGCAGCAGGCCGAGAGGCGGUAGUGGAAUCCGCCACCCAACCAUACACCCACAGUCACCAGGGAAAGCCGGAAGCACAUAAGAAUAGAGGAUGCGGUGCUCUGCGCGGCUUGCCAACGUGGCGGCGCUGUACGAGUUCGUUGAUGGCAACUUCCUCAACAAUAAGCGGCCCGCCAUCCCGGGUGGGGCGUGGCCGCUGGAAAGCUUGCGCCGCAAGAGUCUUGCCGACCUGCAGCAGAUAUGGUUGUCCUUGCUGAAGGAGCGCAACAUGCUGAGCACCAUCAAAGAGCACUACCUGAGGCAUCAGGAGGAGCUUGGGGCGAUGCCGGCGCCGUCGCGGCUGAAGAUGGUGGAAGAGUCGAUGGAAAAUGUAAAGAAGGUCGUGAAGGAGCGCGACGCCGAGGCGACGGCCGAGGCCGUGCGCAUCUUCAAGGAGCGCCUCGCCAAGGGCAUCUACCGCUACCCACCAGGGCCGCCACCCCCACCUGGGGCCCACGAUCCGACGAGCACGGUGAAGCUGGUGCUGAGUCGCCGCGUCGACGAGGAGCGGCUGCGGGAGUUGCUGGGCCGCUUCGAUGUGUUCGAGGCGCACAAGGGCAUUGUGACGCUCACGAUGCAGUUGCCCGAGGACGUUCUAACGCAGAAACGCGACGCGGAGCAGCUGUGGCAGCAGUACAUGGCAGAGCGGCGCGAUGUGGAGGAGUACUACAAGUGGCCGGGCAGCAGCACAGGGAGCGCCGAGUCGGCGAGUGUGUACGACCACACGGUAGUGGAGCUUGCCCCGGGGGUGUACAGUGGGCACCGCGGCACAUCAGCAGCAGAGUCGAACUGUGUGGACAACAGCAACGCCGGCGAUCACGGCGUCAUCCAGGCAGCGCGGCUGCCGGUGCCGCCACCGAAGACGCGGCCCCCGCCCCCGCGCAACCCACUCGAGCACAUCAAGUACCAGCAGCGCUCUGUUCUCAGCAAGGCGGUCAUUCAGCUCGGAUACUUCCCCAACAUCACGAUAACGGCGCCGCGGUUCACCAAGGCGGAUGACGUGCCGCGUCCCGUACACCCGGACGAAAUCGAGGGUCCGUGGGAGGUGCGCGUCACCUACGACGCAAAGGACGGACUGGACUACGUGCAGUCUCUCGGCCUGACGUCCAUCGACGGUGCCGCCGUGCUGUCCGUGGAGGAGGCGUUUCCUGAAGCGGCGCAGCCGUACGCCGCCGUGGACCCGGUCUACCAGGAGGCCGUCCGCCGCGAGAUGGCGCAGGAGGAGACGCUGAUGAAGUGGCCGAACGUGCCGAAGUGGAAGUACCAGUACGACCUUUACACCAAGAAGCACCUUGCACAGGUGGUGCAGUACAACUACUCGAACGUGGUCGACUACGUGGACCGCGAGGUGCUCCUGACCGGCCGCUCCGUCUGGGAGUCGCCGAUCGACAUCGACCCCACGUGCGGCGGCAUGAAGUCGGUGCCGGCGCACGCGAAGAAGCCGAAGCGGUACAUGACACACGGCUUGGGCGAGGUCGGGGUGACGGACAUCUAAAGAAACGUGGCCAUGGUGGUGCUGCCAGGGGUGCUUGGCUGUUUCAAGGUGAGGGCGGGGGUGUUCGAGACCGUGCGCAGGAUGUGUGUGUAUAUAUGUGUUGAUCUCGUC